GUUAGCUUUGUUCUUUCUCUGUUGCAGCUUUCAGGUUGUUUGUUUUGUUCUUGCUCUGUUGCAGCUUUCAGGUAUCUCUAAACAGUUGACCUUCUCCAAUUUGUUGCUACAGACCUCGUUCCUUAUUAUCUUACUCAGACAUGCUCAUGGCUCUUGCUCAUCAGAAGUAUAGGCCUGGAAACUAUAAGCAAGCACUAGAGCACAGCAGUGUUGUUUAUGAAAGAAACCCCCGGCGCACAGGAGAAAGACAAUAUUGAUGUUGCAAUCUGCUACUAUUUAGUUGCUAUUGAGAUCUCAAUAUCUAUUGAAGAGAACAACAUUGUUUCCUAGUUCAUAAAUGAGUAUACCACUGAAUUUACUACUUAAGAGGUAUAAAGUUGCAGAAAAAGUUGGAAGAUCACAAAUGCAAUGGAUAUCAGAGAAGUUGUUAUAAUUUUGAUAUUGUCAAAGACUUGCUAUGGGUACAUCCCCUUAGUAUAGAGUUAUUACAUGCUUUUCCAUGUGUUUUGCUAAUGGAUUGCACAUACAAGACUAAUAGCGAGGUAUCAUUUUCCCUUGUUACAAAUUGUUAGUGUGAUAUCUGCUAAUUUGAUCACCUUUUCAAUUGUUGUUGCAUGCCUUGGGUCUGAGCGAGAAGAGAAUUUUAUAUGGGCAUUACAAAGGUUGAGAUCAAAUAUUCUACACGAGGUAAUUGUGAUGACAGAUAGGGAUUUGGCUCUUAUGAAUGCUAUUGAGAAUGUAUUUCCAACUGCCAAACAUUUGCUAUGUAGAUGGCACAUUGGUAUUGAUUUGUUAAGUAAGUCCAAGAAAACGUUUGAGACACGAGAUGAGUGACAAAUUAAUGGACAAGUGGAGUUUAUUGGUGUUGUCAUCUGCUACAGAAAAGUUAAUACAACACUUAUCAUCAUUCAAGAGAGAGUUUAGCAACUAUCCUAAGCUUGUCGGGUGUAACAAGUAGAAUAUUGGGUGGUUUAAGAAUGUGUGUAAAAAGUAAAAUUGGUGAUGAUUUAGUUGCAGGGACUUUUUUAAAAUUUUAGAAGAAGUGUAACAAGUACAAUGACGAGUGAUUUAAUAAUGAGUGUAAAAAAUAAAAA